rnacentral:rRNA from 1 species
UACGGGGGGUGCGAGCGUUAAUCGGACUUACUGGGCGUAAAGCGCACGUAGGGGGAUCAUUAAGUUAGAUGUGAAAUACCUGGGCUCAACCUGGGAAUUGCAUUUAAUACUGGUGAACUAGAGUAUGGCAGAGGGAAGUGGAAUUUCCGGUGUAGCGGUGAAAUGCGUAGAUAUCGGAAGGAACAUCAGUGGCGAAGGCGACUUCCUGGGCUAAUACUGACACUGAGGAGCGAAAGCGUGGGGAGCAAACAGG